ACUUAUAUAGUAUAUAUUAUUACAUUUAACUUCCAAUUAAAAAAAUUAUUAUUAAAUAAUAUAAGUA
rnacentral:tRNA from 1 species